rnacentral:rRNA from 1 species
GAUGAACGCUGGCGGCGUGCCUAAUACAUGCAAGUCGAGCGAACAGACGAGGAGCUUGCUCCUCUGACGUUAGCGGCGGACGGGUGAGUAACACGUGGAUAACCUACCUAUAAGACUGGGAUAACUUCGGGAAACCGGAGCUAAUACCGGAUAAUAUAUUGAACCGCAUGGUUCAAUAGUGAAAGACGGUUUUGCUGUCACUUAUAGAUGGAUCAGCGCCGCAUUAGCUAGUUGGUAAGGUAACGGCUUACCAAGGCAGCGAUGCGUAGCCGACCUGAGAGGGUGAUCGGCCACACUGGAACUGAGACACGGUCCAGACUCCUACGGGAGGCAGCAGUAGAGAAUCUUCCGCAAUUGGCGAAAGCCUGACGGAGCAACGUCGCGUGAGUGAUGAAGGUCUUCGGAUCGUAAAACUCUGUUAUUAGGGAAGAACAAAUGUGUAAGUAACUAUGCACGUCUUGACGGUACCUAAUCAGAAAGCCACGGCUAACUACGUG